CCCCUGUUUUGUGUUUUGUGUGUUUGUCUUGUGCCACAGACGGCAGCUUACCUGGCGGUGUCUAGAGGCAUUCCCGGAGUGUCCUCAGUCCAGCAAAGCAUGAAUGUUUGAUGGUCUUUGUGCUAAACAAAGACUUUGCCAUUGAUGUUGAAAGAUGUGAUGCAGAAAAUUAAUGAUUGAGCGCAUGCCUGAAUGAUCAGCGUUCUCAAAUCCACCUCUCAAAAGGCAAACUGAAACAUGUUUUGGAAGAGGACUGCAUAUAUCCUGCCAGCUCCCACAGCACCAGUUGACCCUGCUCUAGCCUACCAGAGGCACCACUGCCAGUCCUCCACCACCCUCCUAAGCAAUAGCACUAGCACUAGCAAUACAGUCAAAGGGAAAAAGUAGGUCCACACUCCCUACCACCCCAAACCCUGGUCCUGAAUGGGCCACUUAAACAUACAUCCAUAUUUUGUAAUUACAAAUAACAAAAGGAUCAAAUUCUAUGCUAAACAAGACGGCUGCAGUGUCUGCAAAUACCAAUAAAGUACUUAAGUACUUAAGCUCAAGUAUGUGAUGAUAUGGUGGGCUAUGCCAGAUCUGUUUUUAGUGUAUCACCUUUGAGGG